rnacentral:lncRNA from 1 species
UGACUCCUUUAUCUUUCUCUCCCACCCCUUUAAACAAAGCGACGAAAUCCGCCCCUUCUUCCUCCGUCGACCCGCCGCCACCAAUCUUUUCCUUCUCCGCCGCUACCAGAAGUCGCCGCCGCCGUCCUCAAUCCUCCUCCUUUCUCGCUCUCUAUCUUAGCUACAAGCAACCCAAGGUACUACGAACCGUCUGCUUCUCUAUUUCCACUUCCGACGCAUGCUUUUCACUUCCCUAGAAUGGUUAAUCACUUACCCAUCAUUGAUUGACCUCUGCAAUUGAGUCAAAAUUCUAGCUAGAUCUGAGAGCAAAUCCAGUCAAACGUUAUCAUCAGUGUUUUUGAGCUUGGGAUUCUGUAAGUUCUGCUGGUGAGACAUCGAAUUUGAGAAACUGGAUUCUUUAGUCCACCGGCUCCCCUUUUGCCACCUUCCCAGAGUUGAGCUGGAAAAGGCAAAAUCAGGGUUUAUAUUAUUAGUUUUUUCUUGAUUGUCUGUAGUAUUUUUUGAAAUGUGGGGAUCUCUUUCUUUUUCUUAUACCUCCCUCUCUUUUUGGGGUUGCAUCUUCUUAUGAAAUGAGAAUGGCUGCAAGUUUGGUAUAUGGAAGGAGAGUAUUGAUGAACUUGGACUCCAUUCUUUGUUGUCUACUGGGUUUUGUAGGCUGAAAUUCAUAGCCAUUUCCGUCAAAGCAGGAAGUGUUUGAUCUAUCUUGUGUUUUGAUUCACGGAAAAACCGAUGAAAAAAAUCAUUCUUUCCGCCUGAAACCAUUUUUGUACAGUACUGUUAUUGGAUUCUACUGCUUUCUGUCUCUGGGAAGAAGGGUGAUUCAUGUCAAAUCUGAUUGUCAUUUGCAG